AGGGAAGAGGCCUGAGGCGAGGGCACGCGAAGAGGCCGAGCGGCAGCGCCAGGAGCGGGAGAAACAUUUCCAGCGUGAGGAGCAGGAGCGGCUGGAGAGGAAGAAGCGCCUGGAGGAGAUCAUGAAGAGGACGCGCAAAGUCAGGACGCGGGAGAUGCCAAGAAGAAGGAGGACAAGAAGAUAAUGAACGGGAAGGCAGCCGAGCAGGAGGAUGUCACAGGCCGUGAGAAGCGAGCGGGGCCAAUGCCCAAGGCCGAGGAGCUCCCUGAGACUGGAGACGCCGAGCACGGGGACGCCGGGGACGCUGAAGGGCCCCUCGGGCGAGGGGCUGCAGCCGAGCUCCCCGACCAAGGAGGUGGCGGCGCCUGUGGUGAACGGUGUGCAGCCCGGCAAGCACGAGAACGGCUUCUCCGGCACCGAGGGCUCCCCGGAGCUGCUGGAGCUCUCCCACCACAGCAGCAGCCCCGGCAGCAUCAUCCCCUUCAGGCGACAAGGAGCCCUUCCUCAAGCAAGCCGUGGUCAAACCCCCCCAGGUCACAGGUGAGAGACGCGGGGGGCUGCGUGGGGGGCGACGCCAGUUGCAGCCGCCCCGGCUCUAACGGUGCUUCUUUCUCUCCUCAUCCCCACAGAAGUGCUCUGAGGGCCCGGCCAUGGCUGAUGUCCCCGCGGGGCCACCUCGCACGUGCCACCAGCGGCCCCCCACAGCCCCGUAGCUGUUGUCAGAACAAACACCGCGCUGCUCCCCUCCGCCCGCCGCCCACACCCGGCCCCGCCACGAGGAGCCCGGGCGGCGCCAGGCCCCCUGCCCGCACCGGGGCCUCCUGGUUUCUCUCUCGGUUCUCGUUUUUAUUUCAUUUUAUUAUUUUAUUUUAUUUUUUUUUUUAA
rnacentral:lncRNA from 1 species